AGUCAAAAUCAUUUUAAUUUAGGUUAUCAAGCUAAAUAUUUUGCUUAACUUUAGUGGUUUAUGAGUUGUGAGAGUUUUCUUAUAACUUGAUGACUUUACCACUAGUAUCUUAUUUUUGUGAAAAAUUUCUUAUAUUUCACAAUGCUCUCAAACUUUAUUCUUAAUUAAGAUGUUAGGUGGUUUUGAGGACUUCAAAAGAUGACAAUCAAAUGUAAGAAAAGCACAGAUGGCCUAGUGUUAAUGUAAGACUGCACUAAAGUCAUCUUUGCAUUUUAUUAUAAAGUGACCAGCAAUCAUAAUAUACCUUUCAGUUCAGUUGCUCAGUUGUGUCCGACUCUUUGCGACCCCAUGAAUCGCAGCACGCCAGGCCUCCCUGUCCAUCACCAACUCCCGGAGUUCACCCAGACUCACGUCCAUCGAGUCAGUGAUGCCAUCCAGCCAUCUCCUCCUCUGUCGUCCCCUUCUCCUCCUGCCCCCAAUCCCUCCCAGCAUCAGAGUCUUUUCCAGAAUAUGAAUCCUGAAGCUGAAUUACCUAAGGGGCCUCUACGGUGAAGUGAAAUAGAUGUUGGUGGAAGCAUUUACACCCAGUCAGCUUGAAGAGUCUCAAAUGGACCCUACCACUGAGAAAUCAAGAUGGCAGUCCACUAUGGGGAAUUGAGAAAAAUGGAUUAAUACAAGAGUGCUGUGAUAAUAUACAACCAAGACAGGGUUCUUUUAACAUGGAUUUCAUGAAAUGAAUGAAGAUAUAGGUUUUUUAACAGCACAAAUGGACAGUAAAUUUGUCUUUCUAGAGACUUUUUGUAUCAUUAGGAAUAUUUUUGACAUUUGGAGAAAAAGAUGGCACAUUAACAGAUGAUAGUUUGUAUGCCUGGAAUUUUUUCAGUUUGAUUUGUAUGAGUAUGACCUUGUGGAAUGUUAACUUUAAUAAAAUUUCUAACACUUUAAAAUUUCUCAGUUUGGGUUUUUUUUUU
ensembl:lncRNA